CUGGUGGGCGACAGCGAUGUGGGCAAGGGCGAGAUCCUGGAGAGCCUACAGGACGGCGCGGCCGAGUCCCCGUACGCCUACAGCAACGAAGUGGGAUAACAGGGUCAAAUGGGAGUUCCAUCCAAGACUUCUGAUGGAACACUGUGCCUUGACUUCAGCCAGCAGAGUGGCUGCUGUGCUGUGCAGAUUAACUGGCCCAAGAAGAGUGGAUUGUGCAGAUGAUCCUUGAUAGUCUGGCCACAUGGCCAUGGAUGUCCCACUCAGGUGGCCGAUGUCCCCGGUCUGGAGGAGAGGGCAGGUGAAGACAGAGCAGAUGUCCUGUUUGUCAGUGCCACCCAGCCCUCAGCCUUCUUCCCAUGUGUCCCCACAACUCUGUUUACAGCUCCUGAUGAAGUGGGUCUCAGUGGGCAGGAGGGGUGCCCUGGUGAACUCCCCUGAUCACCAGGUCAAGGGUGACUGUCAGAAAAUAAAGUGACUUUCUAGAAAA